rnacentral:lncRNA from 1 species
CCGUAAGUGGGGAGUAUAAAAUAGGGCUGUCAACCUUUCCUUUUCAUUUUUUUCAUUUGUCUGAUUGCUCUUAAUCGGAUUUAAUCACUCUUGCUAGAAACCAUCGUUGUCACCAUUUAUUGCCCCCCUUCAUUGCCUUCUUCUCCGGCAUUGGUAGUCACCAUCAUCUCAAGUUCCAGUCUGAAGCCCUACAAGUUGGUCCUCCUUUUUUCUCUACUUUUUCUGACUUCGUCUUCCUCCAUUGCUUCUUC